rnacentral:tRNA from 1 species
GUCAUGUUAGUUUAUAUUAAAAUGUGUGAUUUGUAAUCAUGAGUGUUAGUGACU